CUGCAGUGUCACGAGGGCCCCUUGGUUCUGUGGAGCCCACAGGGUGAGUUUUGCCAGUGGGUAGGGUCAGCACCAAAGACACAGACACCAACUGAAAGAAUUGUGUCAUUUAUAUAAGAUCCACACAGCAGCUGGGGGAAGCUGUCCCAGCCAAGGGCUGCAGAGCCACUCCUGGACACUGGGAAUUCCUGCAGGUGCCUCCAGCCACAGCUGAGGCUCCAACUUCGCUGUGAGAGGGCCCAGCUCUGACAGUGCUGAAUGAACAAACUGACAGCACUUCUAGUGUGGGAACAUCUGGUUUCAUCCUCCUCUUGGGUUCCUCCCAAAGCCUGGCCAGGGCCAGAUGGGGCCUUGUCUGAUUUUUAAAUACAGAAAGGUAAAUCCACAUUUCACCAAUGAACAGAUAGAGAUCAUAUUGCUAAUAAAGAUUCAUUAAUGAGCAGAUACAAAGAUAAGCUUUGGUUGGAAGUUUCAUCUAGAGCUCAGCUUUGCCUCAGGGCCUGUUGUUCAGGCCACAUACAGGACCUGGUGUUGAGGCCUCAGGACAUCAAUCAGUGCUUUGACUUACAGAUGAUGAACUGCAACCUUCAUAACAAUUCUUUGGAUAACAGAGUUUAGAUUUAGCUAUUAGGCAUAAAGACAUCAGCUCUUGUUCUUCAAUUAAGUGUUGUUCAAGUUCAUUACUCAGAGCUAUAAUUUGCCUUCCAUUUAAAACAUCCCUAAUUAGUUGCUAUUCUCCAUUAUUUUAUCAAAUGUCCCUUUUUUCUUGAGACUGUGUCUCUUUUUAGACAAGACUCAGUACUCCGUUUCCAGCACAAAGUGCCACAACAACUCUAAAAUGAAAUCAUAACACACCAAGUGCUCAUAUUGCAAUGACGCGACACUGCCAAAAAUUAAUUUCACAGUAGCCUCCAAUUUGGCAGCCAUGAAGCCAAUGCCACCAAGAAAAAUUUUCUUCUUUCUGCCACUCUUCUACUGCCUUUUCUGUCAAGCUGAUUCCUGACUGUUGGCCUUCAAACCCAUCACUGAGAGCAGUGCAACAUUCCUGUCCCAUGAGAGCCCAGGUUCCUCACUGGCCAGCAAGCAGAUAAUCCCAGUCUGUGUGUUUCUGUAGAGCCCCAUUUGUGUUUGUUGGAGCUCCUGGGAUGUGAGAUUGGACAUUUUAACAGCAUCAUUUGCUAUUUCUUCUAAUAAUUGAUUUAGCUCAUUACUGUAAAAUCUGCAGAAUGGGGUAGUACACAUGGGGCACA